UACAGAGACUGCAAGCGUUAUUCGGAUUCACUGGGCGUAAAGGGUGCGCAGGCGGCCAAGUGUGUGAGGCGUGAAAGCCCGGGGCUUAACCCCGGAAUUGCACCUCAAACUACAUGGCUAGAGCAUUGGAGAGGGUAGCAGAAUUCAUGGUGUAGCAGUGAAAUGCGUAGAUAUCAUGAGGAAUACCAGAGGCGAAGGCGGCUACCUGGACAAUUGCUGACGCUCAGGCACGAAAGCGUGAGGAGCAAAAGGG
rnacentral:rRNA from 1 species